rnacentral:rRNA from 1 species
CCUACGGGGGGCAGCAGUGGGGGAUAUUGCACAAUGGGGGAAACCCUGAUGCAGCGACGCCGCGUGGGUGAAGAAGUAUUUCGGUAUGUAAAGCCCUAUCAGCAGGGAAGAAAGAAGACGGUACCUGACUAAGAAGCCCCGGCUAACUACGUGCCAGCAGCCGCGGUAAUACGUAGGGGGCGAGCGUUAUCCGGAUUCACUGGGUGUAAAGGGAGCGUAGACGACCGUGCAAGCCAGGAGUGAAAGCCCGGGGCCCAACCCCGGGACUGCUCUUGGAACUGUGCGGCUAGAGUGCGGGAGGGGCAGGCGGAAUUCCCGGUGUAGCGGUGAAAUGCGUAGAGAUCGGGAGGAACACCAGUGGCGAAGGCGGCCUACUGGGCUCUAACUGACGCUGAGGCACGAAAGCGUGGGUAGCAAACAGGAUUAGAUACCCCAGUAGUC